CCCUUCAGCCGGUGUUGGUGAAGUCGUCGCUCUUGUUCAUGUAGUCGGCGUGCUUCCUUUUCUCGGUGUCCAGCUCGUGGAUCGUUCGCCGGUGGCACUUUUCUGCGAGCAGCAACUGACCCAGCAUCCGCCGGGUCUGAGACUGUCCCUCGCCCACUAACCUCAGCCAUAGGCUUCUGGUAGACGCUGUGGUUGUGUGGCUUGGUGCCUGUGAUGACGCUGUCUCUCUGAAGGGCCCGGAGGGCCGGGACAGGGACUGCAGAGCCAUACCUCGACUCAAGGUCUUCUGGGGAACUCUGUUUGGACUUCAACAUGCAGAUAACAUCUUCUCUGGCCUGAAGGUGCACAGAAAUGAUACAGAACCUCACUGAGAAAUGACUCAAACAAGCCAUCAGGGAUCACCUUUCACAUUUCUCUGACAUGCUAACUUGGUAAAGGCGA